AGGAGAGUUACAAGGGAAAAUCUUACACACACUCGGCCUCAUUGUCAAAACAGACCCUGUGCACAACAGUAACUUACUCGAAGAGAAGCACCACCAUUGAACCACAAGUCCAGUUCUGCAGUUCUCCCAUAGAGACAAAGGAGCCUUCAAAAUGGCCAAGACCUGAGCCCUAGGACCAUGCCUCAGGACUACCUGGCACGAUGACUCCUUGCUGUCCCCAGUCCACCUGGGGACAGCUGCUGCUCCAGUUUCAACUGUUCUGCCUGCGGCUAUGGAACCCUGACCUGUUCACCGGACGUGCUACCUGUCCCAGACCUGCUGUUUUCAACUCUCUAGAGACCGCAGAAGCGGUAGAGAUACUCUUAAUGAUCGGCUAUGAAAAGCCAACUGAAAUUUACUCCUGAUGUGCUGACUUGCUGCACCCUCGACAACUACUGUGAUUAUUAUUAUUUGACCAUUAUUUGAUCAUUUAUGAACAUUUUAACAUCUUGGACAUGUUCUGUUAUAAUCUCCACCCGGCACAGCCAGGUGAGGACUGGCCACCCCUCAUAGCCUGGUUCCUCUCUAGGUUUCUUCCUAGGUUUUGGCCUUUCUAGGGAGUUUUUCCUAGCCACCGUGCUUCUACACCUGCAUUGCUUGCUGUUUGGGGUUUUAGGCUGGGUUUCUGUACAGCACUUUGAGAUAUCAGCUGAUGUACGAGGGGCUAUAUAAAUACAUUUGAUUUGAUGUAGUUGCAUUUGAGAACAAGGUUCACUUGCAGAUUCGUUUUAAACUCUAGGCUGAGUUGGAGUUAUCGAAUGAUGAGUUGACGACACGUUCCAAUUUCAAAGGUUUGUUGGACAGAUGUGCCGUCACUGUCGUCAUUGGCGUUUUUUUCUCCUGUUUGUUUAUGCCAUUGCCAUACAGCAAAACCUACCUUUGACCACUGUUUCUCUGCACAAAUAUUGACUGGAGCACAGAGCCAUCGUCAUCAGCUGGGAAGGAGUCACUGACAUGAGGUUCGAUGAGGAGAGACAAGCGUCAGACAAUCAGUGAAACAUGUUACACAACGUUUAGGUCGCAUUAUGUAGGCUGUAGGAUAUCGAAGAUACACUGUUGUUAGAUAUGAUGGUAUGACCUGAAUCAAGGUCUGCAUUCUGCAAUGAAUGCUCCCACGAUCCAAUGAAUACAAAAUCGUCUGCGUAUAUUUAAGCAAUAAGACAAGAGGGGGUUUGUGGUAUGUGGCCAAUAUACCACGGCUAAGGGCUGUCCUUAAGCACGACGCAACGCGGAGUGCCUGGAUACAACCGUUUGUCGUGGUAUAUUGGGCUAAUACCACAAACCCUUUUGGUGCCGUAUUGCUAUUAGAAACUGGUUACCAACGUAAUUAGAGCAGUAAAACUAAAUGUUUUCUCAUACCCCGUGGUAUAGUCUGAUAUACCACGGCAGUCAGCCAAUCAGCACUCAGGGCUCGAACAACGCAGUUUAUAAUUGUGUAUAAUAUUACAAAUGCUUAUUGUGUGUUUUUAAUAAGUUAUAACUAGGCAUUAAUGUGAAAAUAGAUAAAUCCAUUCAAUGAAAAUGCUACAAAUUUUUUCUCAUGGAUUUCUCACCAAAGGGCAUUGUCUUUCAGAUUGGUUUAGUCCUUGUUAGAAUCGUAAUAUCACAAACAGAACUGGAGUUAUAACCAGUUUUAGGAGGGCAUGUCAUUUUUUAAAUGGUUUUCCCCGGCCUGUUACGCUUCUACUCUGAUAGUUGAAUGUGCCAUGCCUAGUAUAUAAUCAUGCCUAGUUGAUAAUCACCCCAAUAAUUCUUCUAAUCUGAAAAUAAACUACACAGAAUCAACUGUUACACGUAUAACAACAUAUGAAAUAACUGAAGCAUAGAAUUAUGGGUGAGAAAAGGGGAGAAUGGGGGAGUUGAUAAGUGAGGGGAAGUGAACGUCGCACAAUUAUGUAGUCACCAAUUGUGAAUGAAGAACAGGGCGAGCCAUUCUACUGUAUUCAUCUAUUCUAAUUAGCUAUAAUCUCAAAACGGUGUACCCUUUAUCAGUCCCCCGAAUACAAGCAGUCUUAAGGGGUCCACAUGCUUCCCAGACUAAACAGUUUGUGCAUAUACAAUAUUAUUACAACAUUUUGUGACAUUUUUGUUGGUUUUGGACUUUGGUGAAGGGUUUUUUCUUGACGUAAACCUAAAUCGGUAGUCGGAGUCUACAGCCCUUCGUUGGUGAUUGGCCAGUAGGGAUUAUCCAGUAAAAUCUUUGCUGUCAUUCAACGAGAGAUGAUUCGUUUCUGUCACGUUCCUGACCUGUUUUCUCUUGUUUUGUAUGUGUUUAGUUGGUCAGGGCGUGAGUUGGGGUGGGCAUUCUAUGUUUUGUGUUUCUAUGUUUAGGUCAGUGGUAAUUAGCCUUAUAUGCUUCUCAAUCAGGGACAGGUGUUUGACGUUUCCUCUGAUUGAGAACCAUAUAAAGGUAGGCUGUUCACACUGUUUGUUUGUGGGUGGUUGUCUUCCGUGUUUGUGUCUGUGCACCACACGGGACUGUUUCGUUCGUUUGUUCGUUCGUUUGUGUAGUCUGUACCUGUUCAUGCGUUCUUCGUGUUUAUGUAAGUUCUCUAGUUCAGGUCUGUCUACAUCGUUUAUUUGUUUUAUAGUUUGUUGAAGUAUUUUUAAUUUUUCAAUUUUCAUCUUUACUUUAAUAAAUAUUAUUAUGUCACAUAACAACGCUGCACUUUGAUCCAAUCCCUACUCCUCCUCUUCGGACAACCGUUACAGUUUCACUUUUUUUUAUAUAAAUACUGCAUUGAAUGCAAGAGAAGCCAGUGAGCAUUUGACCUCCCUUUAUAGAAAAAGUAUUAAAAUGUGUUGCAAUCAAAUGAAAGUGACAAAGAUUUGUGGUGACUGUUUAGGACAAGGGAUAAGAGCUAAAUGAGAUCCAACUAUUGCGUGAAAACGCACACCAUACUGUAAGCACGAGUGAGGCCACAAAUAAUGUGUAAGGUCCCAGUUUGCCACAUUGCAGCCUCAACCAUAUCAUAAACAUUUUAUCUGCUGCCUUCCACUCAACAUCAACUCCAGCGAACCCUCAUCGUCAGCAAGGAUUCUCUGUACAAAACGACACAAAACUCUGCCAAAAUCCUAAUUCAAUUUUCAAUUUUUUUCGUCCACUUUGAGGUCAUCUCAUCUUUUCACCAUUGCUCAUCGUGUUAGAUGAUUGCAUUAUUGUACAUUAAAUCAUCAUUUUUUUACUUUAUCGUACAUAACAUCUUCAUGGUAACAUGAUGUGAUUGUCAGAGAUGCAUGGAUCAUUUUUCGAUUGAUUCCUAACUGUUGCUGUUUAGGACGACUGAGAACAAUUGUUUCCAGAGUACGUUUCAAACUCUCCUCUCAGUCAGAAGAACUUGUUGCUAACAGAAUGCACUUUGUCCCAUCUGAUUACUUUUUGGCAUUUAUCUAUUCUGCAGAGCAUAAUGAAAGACAUACACCGUGUGUGGUUCAGGGGUUCUACAUAAGGCUCAUUCAAAGUACUGUAAUGUAAUUCCUAUCAGAAACACAUGUCACUGUUGUGGUGUUUCCCGUUCAAAACUGCAGCACUUAAUUUGGACUUUUUUAGCCCCCUUAAAAUAUCAUAUGUGACUAUUCAGGAAUAUGUUGGGAACAUUCAGGAACAUGUUGUUAAAUAUAUUUCACAAACACAGUAAUGUUCUCAAACCUCAGCAUAAGAGCGUUGACUUAUUAGGUAUCUUUAUAUGCUGUGGUGAAGUUGAGAACUUGAGAGGCCUGAUUUGCACAAAGGUUAGGGAUCAAACGGACAGUCCACCAUGUAUUAUCCAACGUUUGUGAGAGGAUCCCAAUCCAUAAUGGAUGUCUCAUGCUUGCAGAUAAACUCUGUACCAUUGCAUUUCCCAUCACUAUCUUGUCCCCCCCCAUCACACCACAACCAUUCCAACCUUUCCCUUGACAGAACAAUUCCCACUUCUGACACCAGUGUGUAACAUAUGUUACCAAGAAAGCAUAACGUGAAAAUUAAAUAAAACAUUGCCCAUAAAAUAAAUGAAACUUCAAAUAUAUUAAAAGAAUGUGUUGAUGUACAGUGCCUUCAGCAAGUACUCAUACCCCUUGAUUUAUUUCACAUUUUGUUGUGUUAAAGCUUGAACUCAAAAUUGAUUAAACAGAUUUUGGUUCUCACACAUCUACCCACAAUACCCCAUAAUGACAAAACAUGUUAAUUGAAAAUGAAAUACAGAAAUAUCUUAUAUGCAUAGGUAUUUACAACCCUGAAUCAAUAUUUCAUAGAAGCACCUUUUGCGGCGAUUACAGCUUUGAAUGGUGUUGGGUGUCUGUUUCAGCUUUGCACACCUGGAUUUGGGGAUUUUCUCUCAUUCUUCCUUGCAGAUUUUCUCAAUCUGUUAACACUUAGAGCGCUGGAAUUCCAUAACUACUAGAAUGGCCAUGAUGAUCAUUCUGACCCGUUAAUAUUUCAAUUGUAUAAAUAUUCCAUAAUAAAUAAUAAAUUGCUAAAAGAAUGCAUUUAUUAUGAUAAAAUAGGUAAUAAGAAACCUCAGAACACCAAAUGCAUAUUGUAUUCAGUCAGAAAAUGUAUUGAUUCAUCCAUAAGCGCAUAGACUUUAAAUACUAAAAAUACUAAAAUACUAAGAUGAUAGUGUAUUUUCUGACUGUAAGCCAACAGUUGCCUGCCAAGCUGGCACGAGCAAACUACACCUAAACUAUAUUGAAACUAAUUUCACACAUAUAGUAAUAAUAAUAAUAAUAAUAGGUGUGGCCUAAAGACAAGAUUAAAUUGACAGUAGUCUGAUGGGAGACAAUAUUAUCAUUUGUCAAAUAGAGAACGAUGAGACUGAUGACCUGCACAGCGUGCAUUGACAGUGUGUAUUGACAAAGAAGCCAGGAGCUUAACAAAUUGCACUUCUUCCAUAUCGUCCUACAGAGGUCCAUGCAGUCCAGAUGUUUUAAUGCUAUACCCUAUCAGAAAGAGCAGAUUCCAUGGUUUCUAAUGAAAUUGUUUUUGCCAAAAAAAACAGUACAAAUUGAGGGGAUGGCCUCUGUUUCAAAAUAUAACUUAGCGGACAUCAGGGCAUGUAAUGUCUGCUUAAUGAAAAAGUUGAUUUCAUUGGUAUGGUGCAGCCAUAGAUUGGCAUGGUGCAGCGAUAGCCUUGGCUACUAAGUGCAGAGAAAUUGUUCCUUUGUUUUGUCUUUUGUUUUAGUUGGUCAGGGCGUGAGUUGGGUGGGUAAUCUAUGUUUUCUAUUUCUGUGUUGGUUUUCUGUGUUUGGCCUGAUAUGGUUCUCAAUCAGAGGCAGCUGUCAAUCGUUGUCCCUGAUUGGGAACCAUAUUUAGGUAGCCUGUUUUCUGUUGGGUUUUGUGGGUGGUUGUUUUCAGUCUUUGUGUGUCUGCACCAGAUAGAACUGUUUCGGUUUUCACUUUGUUGUUUUUGUAUUUUGAGUUGUUCACUUUCAUUAAAUAAGAUGAACAAUUACCACGCUGCGCAUUGGUCCUCCAAUCCUUCGAACUUCUCCUCCUCAGACGAGGAGGAAGACGACAGCCGUUACAGAUAUACAACUCAAAACAUGCUAUUCUGUUAUUUGUAUUACCUUCCUAAAUGAAGUAUUAAUGGAUUUAUUUGGGAUUGUGUAUAUUAACACAAGAAAGGCAGCAAGAAUCAUAAUGACAAAAAUGUAUUUGUGUUGAAUUAUUCUCCAUUUUUUAAGUCAUAGUCUUUGACUUUUCCUAAAUACAUCUAUAUAACACACUGUCCUUGUUAGAAUCGUAAUAUCACAAACAGAACUGGAGUUAUAACCAGUUUUAGGAGGGCAUGUCAUUUUUUAAAUGGUUUUCCCCGGCCUGUUACGCUUCUACUCUGAUAGUUGAAUGUGCCAUGCCUAGUUGAUAAUCAUGCCUAGUUGAUAAUCACCCCAAUAAUUGCUUCUAAUCUGAAAAUAAACUACACAGAAACAACUGUUACACGUAUAACAACAUAUGAAAUAACUGAAGCAUAGAAUUAUGGGUGAGAAAAGGGGAGACUGGGGGAGUUGAUAAGUGAGGGGAAGCGAAUGACGCACAAUUAUGUAGUCACCAAUUGUGAAUGAAGAACAGGGCGGGCCAUUCUACUGUAUUCAUCUAUUCUAAUUAGCUAUAAUCUCAAAACGAUGUACCCUUUAUCAGUCCCCCGAAUACAAGCAGUCUUAAGGGGUCCACAUGCUUCCCAGACUAAACAGUUUGUGCAUAUACAGUAUUAUUACAACAUUUUGUGACAUUUUUGUUGGUUUUGGACUUCGCUUCGUUGGUGAUUGGUCAGUAGGGAUUAUUCAGUAAAAUCUUUGUUGUCAUUCAACGAGAGAUGACUUGUUUCACUUUUUUUUAUAGAAAUACUGCAUUGAAUGCAAGGGAAGCCAGCGAGCAUUUGACCUCCCUUGAUAGAAAAAGUAUAAAAAAUGUGUUGCAAUCAAAUGAAAGUGACAAAGAUUUGUGGUGACUGUUAGGACAAGGGAUAAAAGCUAAAUGAGAUCCAACUAUUGCGUGAAGACGCACACCAUACUGUAAGCAUGAGUGAGGUCACAAAUAAUGUGUCCAAUAACUGACAAUAAUAGACCAUUUUUGACCGCUUUCAUAUGGACACAUAUUCAUUAUAAUGCCAUUAUUGCACAAUUCACAAGCACUCUUGGCAUCUAUACUGAUG